UGGGGAAUAUUGGACAAUGGGGGGAACCCUGAUCCAGCCAUGCCGCGUGUGUGAAGAAGGCCUUAUGGUUGUAAAGCACUUUAAGCGAGGAGGAGGGUACUGGUAUUAAUACUACCAGCUACUGGACGUUACUCGCAGAAUAAGCACCGGCUAACUCUGUGCCAGCAGCCGCGGUAAUACAGAGGGUGCGAGCGUUAAUCGGAUUUACUGGGCGUAAAGCGUGCGUAGGCGGCUAAUUGAGUCGGAUGUGAAAUCCCCGAGCUUAACUUGGGAAUUGCAUUCGAUACUGGUUAGCUAGAGUGUGGGAGAGGAUGGUAGAAUUCCAGGUGUAGCGGUGAAGUGCGUAGAGAUCUGGAGGAAUACCGAUGGCGAAGGCAGCCAUCUGGCCUAACACUGACGCUGAGGUACGAAAGCAUGGGGAGCAAACAGG
rnacentral:rRNA from 1 species